rnacentral:rRNA from 1 species
AUGCGUGUUGUGUGUGAACUUUGUUUCCUCCCUCCUUCUCUGAAUCUCACCUACUCUCCCUGUAUCUCACCUUCUUCUUCAGCAAGGAAACCUGGAUUGGAUCUCGAUCCCGAUUGCCUCCCUUGUUUCGAUCCUCUGCAUCAGUGGUUCAUUACAAACUAGUAUUCAUAGCCAAUUCCUUCACCCCCCUCCCCCCACAAAUUUUUUUCAGCCAGUUCUUCCUCUUAUCCUCUCGAUUGGAUCGUAACACCCACCGUCGCGGAUGCGGAUUCACCUCGGUGAUCUGCUCGAAAUCCCCGGCGGGGUUGAUCUGAUUUGGAGCGAGGCGAAGGCGCCGACUUCCAAGCCUUUUGCUCAAACACGCCACAUCUUGUCCGCCAUGUCGGAAACUUCGGGUGAGAUCAAAUCGCUGCUGGAGUCGCUCCUGACGCGGUUCGAGAAGAACCAGCUCGCCGCCGACAAGAACGUGGAGGAGCAGCCCGCCUUCAACCAUCAGGUCUCUAGCGACUUGACCCACCUACGCAAGCAAAUCCACCUGACGCAGUCCAACAUCGAUGAGGUGCGCCAGCUGCACGAGCCGCACAAGCCAUCGGCUCCGCCGUCCCCAUCCCGCCAGCCGCGUACACCACGGGAGGGCGAGCCACAAGCUUCCUCCAUCACGCCACCCGAGCUGCCAUGCGGUUCGGAGAUCCACGGACCGCUUGUCCGCCUUGCCAACAACGGGCCGCCCCUGCUCGCGACGCACCCGUUUAUGCCGCUCCAAGGAACGGCGCACGUCACGCUGCAACAUCAUCACCAAGAGCAGCGCCACGACACGACUGGCAACUACUACGCCGUCAAACCGCCCAAGCACGAUUUCCCCAAGUUCGGUGGCACGGGGCCAUACCUGUGGAUCGAUCGGUGCGAGACCUACUUUGAGUUGUACCGCGUUCCUCCUCACAGUUGGGUGACCACGGACGCGCUCUACAUCGAGGGGCACGCAACACACUGGUCGCAGGCAUUCUGACAAGCACAUCGUGCACUCUCCUCGGCCGCCUUCUGCCUGCGUUUUGAUUUUCGGCCGAAAAAAACGAAUUUCGGCCGAAUUUCGGCCGUUUCGCUAGGGCCCGAUAUAUGGGCCUGUCGGCCGAAUAAUUUGGCCCAGUUUGAAUUUUUUUUGCCCAGCCCAGCUUCCAGAGCCUUCCAACUAAGACAAAAGCACGAAACCCCAAUCGGCCAACCCUAGAAUCGCUCGUUGCUUGUCCCUCCUCCCGUGUGCGGCGCCGCCGCUGCGCACAGGACAGCGAGCGCUUCCACCCCAUCUCCUCGCCCUCGUCCACUUCUCCGGCCAAGCCGCUCACUUCUCCUCGCCCUCGUCUACUUCUCCGGCCAAGCCGCUCACUUCCACCACUUCUCCUCGCCCUCGUCCACUCCUCUCGACCUCACGAGUCCUCACCAGAUCUGAAGCUCGUAGGCAGCAGGGCUCCCUAGACUGCAGCAUGGUGCUCGGCGGCUGCGGCAACGGAGCUGAUGGAGCACGAUCCGACCAGUUCAACGGAGGCAGUAGCACGGGGCAGCGGCAGCAGCAUGGAGGGCCUCCGCUUGACUGGGAAGGUACAGAUGUUGAAAUGAUGCUUGUGUGCAACAUUAAAGUUUUUUCUCCAGAACAGAUUAGUUUCAACAAAAAAGUCUAGUAAUGUUUGGUGGAAUGCACUAGAGUGGGUACUAGGUUCGUUAAGGCCACUUUAUAAGGCCAUGAGGUAUGCUGAUACGCAGAAACAAUGCACUCUUUCUGGCUUAAAAAAAAGUAUGAUGCUCGCUAUACAACGGAUGGAAGCACAUCUAGGCCCUACAUCAAGGUUGUACCUUAGUUUCAUGCGCAAGGUGGGCAAGAGGAUAGAUGCAAUGGAAGAAGAUACGUUUAUGGUUGCAGCUGCCGUCCUUGAUCCAUAUACACAUUACAGCCUCAACCUUUGCAACCAUACAAAUUAUGCUACUGCACUAACAGAUGCGAUAGCGAAGAUAUUAGAUCCAAAGAGUGCUCUUUCAGCCAUUGAUGAAGUUAGUAAGUUUAGGGAGUGCCAAGGAAGGUUUGGGACCAGAUUAGCACAAGAAGCUGCGGCGAGAAUGGAGCCAAGUAAGUCGUGGUCUUUUGGUUUUAGAAUUUCCAUUUCCUUUUGUUUUGUAAUUCUGAAAAUUUCAUUGGUGAUAUCUUGCAGCCCAAUGGUAGUUUCAAUUUGGAGGGGAUGUUCCUGCAUUGCAGAAGUGUGCAAUGAGAAUUUGCUCACAAUGUGUCUCAUCUAGUGGGUGUGAGAGGAACUGGAGCGCCUUUGCUUUGGUGCACACAAAGCAAAGAAAUCGCCUUUUAUAUGACAAGCUCCACAAGCUAGUUUCUGUCCGCUACAACCUAAAGAUACGUGCUGAAGAAGAUCAAGAGAAAGAGAGAGAUAUAGAUAAAGAGGUUGAUCCAAGUGCAUUGCUGAUAGAUACAACAAUGUUCGAUGAGACAAAUCCAAUAAUGGAGUGGCUGAAUGAGGAUGAAGAGGAUCCAGUUUUGGAUGGAGCCGAUGCGGCCAGUGCUGUUUUUGAGAAAAUAAGGCGCCUCAACUCAAGCAGGAAGGAUUCUUAUGUUGGUACAAAGGCUAAUAAGAAGAAAAGAAAGAGGAAUCAUGAUGAGGAGAAUGAGUAUGUUGAAACUGACAGUGAGGAUGACGACAACGAUAAUGAAUAUGUUGAUAAUGAGAGUGAGGAUGAUGAUGGGGUGAGUGAGGAUGAUGAGGAUGAUCAACAAGAUCAGCAAGAAACACAAAUGCAAGUGGAAGAAGAGACACAAGUACAAGUUGAAAAGGAGACACAAGCAAGCAUUGGCAAUUUGGAGACUCGUAGAUCUGGACGACUAGUUAGGAAGAAGACCAAGGAAAUCAACAGCCUCUACUCGUAGAUUUGCUGGAGCUUGGAGCUAGCUGGAGCUUGGAGAAUGAUGCUAGUUGGAGGCUUGGAGCAUGGAAGCUGGAGCUAGUGAUGAUUUCUUUUGGAGUUGUUGUUCGUUGUGAUGCUUUGAUGGUUGUCUUUUGCUGUUCGGUGUGAUGCUUUGAUGGCUGUCUUUUGGAGAUGUUUCUACGUGAAGUCCUUUAAAUUCCUAGAGUUGGUUGUACUGAAGUAUUUAAACUUUGAACUAUGAUGUGAUGGUUGUGGACUGUAAGUUUAGAACUAAUGUGAUGGUUGUGGACUGUAAGUUUAUAUUGGACUGACGCUCUUAUUUUAAUCCCUAGAGCUAAUUUGCUAAACAUUAUAUGAUUACUCCUGAU